rnacentral:rRNA from 1 species
UACAGAGGUCUCAAGCGUUGUUCGGAUUCAUUGGGCGUAAAGGGUGCGUAGGUGGCGCCGUAAGUCGGGUGUGAAAUUUCGGAGCUUAACUCCGAAACUGCAUUCGAUACUGCGGUGCUUGAGGACUGGAGAGGAGACUGGAAUUCAUGGUGUAGCAGUGAAAUGCGUAGAGAUCAUGAGGAAGACCGGUGGCGAAAGCGGCGUGCUGGACCCCUUCUGACGCUGAUGCGCGAAAGCCAGGGGAGCGAACGGG